rnacentral:rRNA from 1 species
CCUACGGGCGACAGCAGUGAGGAAUAUUGGUCAAUGGACGAGAGUCUGAACCAGCCAAGUAGCGUGAAGGAUGUCUGCCCUAUGGGUUGUAAACUUCUUUUAUAUGGGAAUAAAAUGUUCCACGUGUGGGAUUUUGUAUGUACCAUAUGAAUAAGGAUCGGCUAACUCCGUGCCAGCAGCCGCGGUAAUACGGAGGAUCCGAGCGUUAUCCGGAUUUAUUGGGUUUAAAGGGAGCGUAGGUGGAUUGUUAAGUCAGUUGUGAAAGUUUGCGGCUCAACCGUAAAAUUGCAGUUGAAACUGGCAGUCUUGAGUACAGUAGAGGUGGGCGGAAUUCGUGGUGUAGCGGUGAAAUGCUUAGAUAUCACGAAGAACUCCGAUUGCGAAGGCAGUUCACUGGACUGCAACUGACACUGAGGCUCGAAAGUGUGGGUAUCAAACAGGAUUAGAUACCCGUGUAGUC